GACGAGCCUCACAAACGUUAUUCGGAAUUACUGGGCUUAAAGGGUGCGUAGGCGGCGCGGAAAGUUGGGUGUGAAAUCCCUCGGCUCAACCGAGGAAUUGCGCUCAAAACUACCGUGCUUGAGGGAGAUAGAGGAAUGCGGAACUUAGGGUGGAGCGGUGAAAUGCGUUGAUAUCCUAGGGAACACCGGUGGCGAAAGCGGCAUUCUGGAUCUCAUCUGACGCUGAUGCACGAAAGCUAGGGUAGCAAACGGG
rnacentral:rRNA from 1 species